CAUAUGUCCUCCGAGAGAGCACCAACAAGAAACGGAAAUCGUGAAACUCAGCCGAGGGGUUAAAAAGGAGCCCAAGGAGGAGAAAUCUCGCGGCCGUUUCACGCCACGCACGCGCUCUCCUCCUUGCAACCUCCUCUCUUCUCCUGCGAUCCCACAAACCCUUCCCUCUCGUUCCCUCGGGGGUUUUUCGACGGCGAUGUCGGGAAGGAGCCGGAUGCCUCCCCACGCGAUGAAGGGCCCGCCUCCGCCGGUCCACGACCCCCCGCCGCCCCCCUUCGGCCGCGGCCUGGGCCCGAUGCACCCCGCCCUCCUCGACGACCUCCGCGAGCCCCCUCCUUUCGUCCGCGGCCCACCCCGGCCUCUUCCCCCUCACCCCGCCAUCAUCGAGGAGCGCCUCGCCGGCCAGCUCCAGGAGAUCCAGGGCCUCCUCGUCGACAACCAGCGCCUCGCCGCCACCCACGUCGCCCUCAAGCAGGAGCUCGCCGCCGUCCGCCAGGAGAUCGAGCGUGUCAAUCACGCCACCGCCACCACUCACGCCGAGAGGGAUCUCCAUCUCCGCGAGGCUUAUGAUAAGUCGAUGAAGCUGGAGUCAGAGCUCCGGGCGGUGGAGGCGAUGAGGGCGGAGCUUAUACAGAUCCGAGGGGAGAUACAGAAGCUGGGUGCCGUGAGGCAGGAGCUUACAGGGCAGGUGCAUGCGCUCACCCAGGACUUGGUUCGGGCCUCGGUUGAUUUGCGGGAGGCACCUGCAGUAAAGGCAGAGAUCGAGACCAUGAAGCAGGAGGUACAGCGAAUGAGGGCUGGUAUUGAGUACGAGAAGAAAGGAUAUGCUGAGAGUUAUGAGCAAGGACAGGUAAUGGAGAAAAAUUUGAUUUCAAUGGCUCGUGAGGUUGAGAAGCUACGGGCUGAGGUUGCUAAUGCUGAGAAGAGGGCACGAGCUGCUGCUGCUGCUGGGACUCAAGCUGCAGGCUAUGGUGGAAAGUAUGGCAAUCCUGAUCCCAGUUAUGGUGGAAAUCCUUAUCCAGCUGGCUAUGGCAUGAAUCCUGUUCCUGGAGGUGCAGAUGUUGGUCCUCAGCAUGGGACUGGAUCUGGGCAUGGCUCUUGGGGUGUGUAUGACAUGCAACGAGCUCAUGGACGUAGAUGAAAGUGUGACCAUGCCAUACAUGAUGUCGAUUGCCUUCUCACCUGCAUAGAUUGUCUUUUUGAGUGCAACUUUAUAACUACUUAGUUUACAAUCUGAGGUGUUGUUAAUCAGGAAAGCAUUGUGGUGGGCAGGUUCUUAGUAUGAAUAUUUUGGUUUUUUCAUCUUCUUGCGGUCAGCCUAAAAGAAGUUGCUUUGCUGUUUGUUUUUUGCCAGAUGUCAAUCAUGUUAGUCAGAGACCGAAAUCAAACUGAACCAAGAUUGCAGUUGAUCUCCAUCAAGAUGGAAGGUGGGGAAAUUUUGGAAAGAACCGAGAUAAUCUGAGAUGUUGGCCAAUAUAUAGUAAGCAAGGGAACAUUGUGAUAAUAUGAUAAAGUUUUUUAGCAUCGUGAAUAGUUAAGCCCCUUAAGGAAGUGGAGUAACAAAAUGCAGUUCAAGCUUGCUUAGAUCUAUGCUCUCGAUCUUAUUAUUGAAUUGGCGUGGCAAUUUCGUUAGAAAGCGAGACAUAUGUUGUUUUCUUGCUUCUAAAUCUGGGCUGCUGGAUGAAAUGGUUGAUGUACCACGGUUUCUUCAGUUGCAAAUUGCUGGGAUCAUGAACAUGCGUGAAUAUUGAAAAUACUGAAAUUGAAUCCUGUCAAAAGGAUCCUUCAGAAAUAUUAUCAAUAUUAUCUAUAAACUAUGCUGAUGGCUGGGUGAGAUGGACCUUGUGACCAUAUUUUUUUGGCUUUUUGCAUGUGUACUUUUGCGAAUGGAUUUUGUAUAUCUACCCUAAAUAUCAGCAUAUAUCCCUUAAA